GAUGAAGAACGCAGCGAAAUGCGAUAAGUAAUGUGAAUUGCAGAAUUCAGUGAAUCAUCGAAUCUUUGAACGCACAUUGCGCCCGCCAGUAUUCUGGCGGGCAUGCCUGUUCGAGCGUCAUUUCAACCAUCAAGCCCCAGGCUUGUGUUGGAGCCCUGCGGCUGCCGCAGCCUCCCAAAACCAGUGGCGGGCUCGCUAUCACACCGAGUGCAGUAGUUUACUCUUCGCUCAGGGCGUGUGGCGGGUGCUAGCCGUAAAACCCCCACUGUAACCCCAAAGGUUGACCUCGGAUCAGGUAGGAAUACCCGCUGAACUUAAGCAUAUCAAUAAGCGGAGGA
rnacentral:misc_RNA from 1 species